rnacentral:rRNA from 1 species
ACGGGUGGUAAUGCCGGAUGCUCCAGUUGAUCGCAUGGUCUUCUGGGAAAGCUUUCGCGGUAUGGGAUGGGGUCGCGUCCUAUCAGCUUGACGGCGGGGUAACGGCCCACCGUGGCUUCGACGGGUAGCCGGCCUGAGAGGGCGACCGGCCACAUUGGGACUGAGAUACGGCCCAGACUCCUACGGGAGGCAGCAGUGGGGAAUAUUGCACAAUGGGCGCAAGCCUGAUGCAGCGACGCCGCGUGAGGGAUGGAGGCCUUCGGGUUGUAAACCUCUUUUAUCGGGGAGCAAGCGAGAGUGAGUUUACCCGUUGAAUAAGCACCGGCUAACUACGUGCCAGCAGCCGCGGUAAUACGUAGGGUGCAAGCGUUAUCCGGAAUUAUUGGGCGUAAAGGGCUCGUAGGCGGUUCGUCGCGUCCGGUGUGAAAGUCCAUCGCUUAACGGUGGAUCCGCGCCGGGUACGGGCGGGCUUGAGUGCGGUAGGGGAGACUGGAAUUCCCGGUGUAACGGUGGAAUGUGUAGAUAUCGGGAAAGA